rnacentral:rRNA from 2 species
AACUUUCAACAACGGAUCUCUUGGUUCUGGCAUCGAUGAAGAACGCAGCGAAAUGCGAUAAGUAGUGUGAAUUGCAGAAUUCAGUGAAUCAUCGAAUCUUUGAACGCACAUUGCGCCCCUUGGUAUUCCAUGGGGCAUGCCUGUUCGAGCGUCAUUUGU